CAUGGCCCCUGCGUAUUUCCAGGAAGGUAAAUACUUUCCCCCCAGAUAAGAAUUUUUCCUUACAAUUCUCAUAAUGAUUAACUUCCUUCUUUAACUUUUUUCCCUUUAGAAAUUACUGAUAAUUUCUUCUUGAAAUCCUGACUGGUUUUUCAAAUAAUGCAGCCUUGGCAAAAAUGGCACUACGCUGAACUUCACUGCUCCGUCUAUGAAUUCAACUUCUGAUUCUCCUGCACACACCACCUACAAUGGUGGGAAUUUGUCGAGUAUGUUGGUGGUAAUCAGAUUUGUGAUCUUAAGUAUGAUUUUCUUGUAAGCUUAAACAAAACAAGUUGUAAUCUUUUUUCAAGUGAUCGGAAAAUUUUGAGGUAGAUGGAACAUUCUUCUUCUUCUUCUUCUUCCCCUUCCCAUGCAGAAGGCCAAAAUGAUUACAGACCAGUUGGUGGUGGUGGGUAGGAUAAUUGGCCAUUCAAUUUUGUAUAAAGCAGGAGGUGGUGUGGAUUUUUUAUCUUCUGGGUUCUGGCUGAAUUACUGUAUUCUUUAUAAUUCAAUCUUUAUUCUAACUAUUCUAAUGCAUCAACAUAUGUAUGCACACACACACA
rnacentral:lncRNA from 1 species